rnacentral:rRNA from 1 species
AAUCAACGCUGGCGGCGUGCCUCAGACAUGCAAGUCGAACGCGAAAUUUCCCUUCGGGGAGAAAGUAGAGUGGCGCACGGGUGAGUAACACGUAGGUAAUUUGCCUUUGGGUGGGGAAUAACUCAGGGAAACUUGAGCUAAUACCGCAUAAUGCAGCGGCUCGACAUCGAGACAGUUGUUAAAGCGGGGGAUCGCAAGACCUCGCGCCUAAAGAGAAGCCUGCGGCAGAUUAGCUAGUUGGUAAGGUAAUGGCUUACCAAGGCGACGAUCUGUAACCGGCCUGAGAGGGCGGUCGGUCACACUGACACUGACAUACGGGUCAGACUCCUACGGGAGGCAGCAGUCGGGAAUUUUGGGCAACGGGCGAAAGCCUGACCCAGCAACGCCGCGUGAAGGAUGAAAUUUUCGGAAUGUAAACUUCGCAAGAACAGGAAGAAUAAGUAGAAGCGAAUACCUUCUAUGAUGACGGUAC